rnacentral:rRNA from 1 species
GACAGAGGAGCCAAGCGUUGUCCGGAUUGACUGGGCGUAAAGCGCACGCAGGCGGUCGUGCACGUGGGGUGUGAAAACUGGCGGCUCAACUGCCAGAGGCCACCUCAUACGGCGCGACUCGAGCCCGUGAGAGGUCCAUGGAAUUGCCGGUGUAGUGGUGAAAUGCGUAGAGAUCGGCAGGAACACCCAGGGAGAAAUCAGUGGACUGGCACGGUGCUGACGCUCAGGUGCGAAAGCGUGGGGAGUGAACCGG